rnacentral:lncRNA from 1 species
UGUUGGAACUAGUAUUCAGUGUUUCUUGAAUGGAGAACUGAACCGUUUGAUUAUUGUAUGGCGACUGGAGAGAUUGGGUGAUUGCAUUCGUUAUUAUUUGAUUGACAUGCCCACUCAUUGCUUUGGUUGAUGUCUAAAUUGUCUCCUUGGAAAUAGGUGCGAACAACCAUGUGCAUGGGUUUGAUAAUGUAAACUUAAUUGAAUAUAUGAAUGAAUGUAAAAGACUUAAUCAAAAAGAAGAGUCAAAGUCAUUGUGUAAGUGUCAGUUCGGAUGUAUGUGUAGAGCUUGCAUAUGAUUGAUGGUAUGUGUAUUUGCAAUGGUGUUUUGGGGAUUGGUAGACAGGAAUAGGUAUGGCAUUAGGGAUUGUAUGGUAUCGAUUGUAGUGUAAGGAUUAUAGGAUAGGGAUUGAUUUAUGGAUUGAUAGAUUGAUUAAU